rnacentral:lncRNA from 1 species
CCGUGAUAGCCUGCUCCAAAGUUUGCCCCACCAUUGGCUGGCCAGUGGCCAAUCAGAUACUCUCAAUGCCGUGAUCCGAGAUUGGGCUUUGGGCCCUGAACUGUGAUGUCACAGAACCUGGGACCUGCACCCAUGCUGGGCUAAGACAAGGGGCAGAGGCAGAGAGAGAGAGAGGAGCCACCCUGAGAAGGAAGAGACCAGGUGGGCUCUGAGACAGGGAGACCCUUUCUACGUCGGUGCCUUGACAUGUGACUUUUUUGUCACUUCGUGCUCCAGGAUCACACCUGGAUGAACUAUCACUUUCAAAUGACCUUGUCUUUUCUCGGGCCUUCUGAACUGAUCAUCUCUUCCUUCUGAUACAAGAGGAUCUUCCCUGGAAGACCACUGCACACCUUCUAGUAACACUGCGACCCUGGAUAAUAUUCUACUUUGAAGAACACCAGUAGACCGAAGCAAGAUGACUAAUUUUUAAUGCCAAAUCUCCAUCACUCUCUGCUGCCUGGUAACUGGUAUUGGACACCUGGACAUCUGCAUCCCCGAGCCUUGAGAACCCAACACGUGUUCUGGAAUGACUGGCAGUAGCACCCCACCACUCAACCCCCAUAUGAGAAGAAAAAGGCCUCCUGCCUCCUCUUCUUUCACCAGACACUGUGGGCCCACAAUUCCCAUGUGCACCCCAAAGAUCCAAGCCACUAGCUCUCUCUCCACCUCUUGCAGGGUAGACCUUCUCCUUUUUUUUUGGCGGGAGCGGACAGAAUCCCACUCUGUCACCCAGGCUAAAGUGCAGUGGCGCGAUCUCGGCUUUUGUGUUAUACAAGGCUCUUUAUAUCAUGAUUAACACAAUAAGGUGCUUAAUCAUGAGUCUUAAUGUGGCUGCAUCCCACUCCCUAGGCUUCAAGGACAGAAAUUGCAUAUUUUUGAAAAGGUUAUUCUAAUGUACACCUGGGUUUGUGAUCCACUUAUAAGCCCUCAAAACCACUAAUCUGUUCUCCAUAAUUUUGUCAUUUCUGGAAUAUCACAUAAAUGAAAAC